CCACUUUUGUGAGUCUGACUGCCUGUGCAUACAGACCAGCUUCUUGUCCAGGCUCAGUGGUCACACCGUGCUACCCAGCAGUGAUACCAGUGCAGUCCUUGCAGGCUCACCUUCCCUUUGGUCAGCAAAUGCAGACCAAGUCCUGUGAUGAUUCCCAACCUGUGAUUGGAGGAGCCAAGCUGAGGUCUUUCAAGCCUGGUUCUCUCUAGGCUUUGAUAAUCCCAUGUAACACUUGUAUUAAAAAAAAAAAAACUCAUCUUUUUACAUCAUGUUAUCUCCAUAAUCUCUAAAUCACAACCAGCACUAACAAAGAGCAUUUCUCUGUCUAUGAAAGAGGAGUGUGAAGUGGUUAGGGUUCUUUUUUGAGGGGGGGGGGGAGGGGAGUGGGAAGAGGGCAUAGAUAAGAGAAUAUGUUUACUUUUAGCUAAACAGCCAAGAGGAAUAGCUGAAAACAUAGUCCAAGGUUCUGGACUGAUCCCGUGCUGUGUCCAGGAGGCUGCUCUCUGUUGCUAACGCCAUGUUCAGUGUCAGAACUCCCUUCCCCCUAUGGCUGCGCAGCUGCUCAGCUGGCUUCUGCCCACAGCCCAGUGAUGCUGCAAGAAUGUAGGUCAGAGCUCUUCUGGAUCUGAUAAGUGUUAAAUUAAGCUUACGUUGAUCUUAGUUGCUCCAAUCAUUUCAUGUAUUUGCUAUAGUGUUAAGCUUCCCCCUUCUUCUGAAUUCUCAGUGGUAAAAGGUCCCUAAUUGUAAUUUAUCUGUGACUGAUACCCAGUACAAUUACCUUUACAACUCAGGAUGGUGAUGCUUAGGUUUAGGAUUAUUUGCAUGGGAACCAUUACCUGUGCAUGUAACAAUUGAGAUUGGUCUCUCUUUUUUUUUUUUUUAAUCUUGUUCUUUGUUUUGCAGCUUUAGUGAAGGAUGAGUCUUCUGUGUUGCUAAUACUGACUGACUUGCAGGACUCUGACUAUCACCAGCAGUGGCUUUUUCAUGACAAAGACAGCAAAAAACAUUCCGACUAGCUUGGAGAGAUUCCCUACACGAUAUGUAGGGCACAGUGGGAGGUGGCCUUCAUGUGAUUACAGCCUAUCCGUGACAGUUGUCUGCCACUUCUUACAGCUUGGUGUUUUUGUUGCUUUAACUUUCCCAGACUUCUAAUUCAACAGAUACGUUCAAAGUCCACUGCAAACUCAGUCUUCUCUGUGGCACCUUCAGUGAGUUCUAUCAAGUGUAAUGCUUAAUCCCUUUGAAUUAUAUACCAAUCAUGUUUAGGCAUAGAACUUUGCCUUCUGUCUGGUUCUAGAUGUUAUUAAUUUGCACUCUGUGGAGAGCAAACCCUUCCACUGACUUUGAUUUGCAGGCUGAGGUUAUUUGUGCUUACUGAUCAGGAACCUUGAUUUGGGCAGCAUUAGGAAAAAGUACUUAGGACUUGCAGAUGUCUUCUGUAGGCUGCUUUCAGUCACCAUCUGAUCCUCUAAAUCAAGGGGUAUUAACUAUUUAAAAAAGCUCAUUUAAAGAAAAUAAAGGCAGUGUUGUUUCUUUUAAUGUGGUGAAAGUCAUCCUUUACAGUGAAGCUAUGAGAUGAAGGGAUCUUAGAGGAAAGAGGUAAAUAUGCUGAGGCAUAUUUGGGGUAUGUAUGUGUGUAAAGCCCCUGCAUACAUAAAUCUCUAUUAUAUAGACAGGAUAAUUAGGUCCUAAUGAAUUGCAGACAACAGCUCACCCAGUUACCACCAGUGGGAUCCCUGAGGAACACGUCAGUGGUGAUGUGCUGUGUGUAAGCAGCACCUGCCACCUUCAGCUGUGCACUCACCUGCUGUGAAGGGCUCCGUGGAGCUGUGUGUCCCACGCACAGCAGCUGAGACUGGAAGGUGCAGCUGAAGAUAAUUUGAGCAAGGUUAACUCCUCUCUACAUCAGUUUCUGAGGCUCGAAUGGGCUGCUCGGUCACCUUCAAGCACUGAUGAGCUGCUCAGCACCCCAACGCUGAGCAAUGGGGUUCUUAAGGCAGGCGUCCACCUCCGCCAGUGCUGUGGAGUUUUUAGAGAAGGCCAUUUAGGGCACAGGACCGAUGCGGCAGGGCCUCACGCUCACCCGGGCUGUGUGGCUGACAGCACGCAGGGCGCAGCCCAUCUCCGCCCCCCCAGCAGCAUUCCCUGCGGCCUUCGCUCUCCCUGCCCCAGUCCGGCCUGCUCCCGGCUGCCUGCUGAGCGCCUCGAGGCCUGCUGUCUCAUUGCUGUCGCUCGGGUGAAGGCACGAAACUAAGGAAUACCUGAGGAGAGGGGAAGCAGUGACCCCAACAGUCAGUGCUCUGCAGGGCGCCGCUACCCGCUUAUCGGGGUGUGGAGACGCGCACUAAAAACAACAGUAGCGAUUUUGAGAGAAGCAACUGCCACCACCGCGGGCUGCCGAUGGAUAAAUAACUGCUCGAAAGUCACGCACACGACGUCCUGACCACAUCUCACGGUGACCGCAGCCCAACGCGACCUACGAGCCCCCCGCGAGGCUCCGGGCCCGGCGCUGCCCCCAGGCGCUCAGGGCCGACCCCGCCGUGUGGGGG
ensembl:lncRNA